rnacentral:lncRNA from 1 species
AAUUGGCCCUUUUUAAAAAAACAAUAUAAGCCAGAUUUGCUAUUACUAAUUUGACAUAAUCUGGAAAAUUGUAUUUUGCUCUUGUUUUCUGCAAUGUGCUCAAUUAUAGUGCUUCAAAGGUGAAUGAUAUAAUCAAACUGACAAAGCUGCUGCCUUUCAUAACGUGGUUUUUCUUCUGUACAUCACUGGGACAUGUCUCCAUGUAACGGUGCCUCACCUCAGUUUUUUCUAUCUCAACCUACCCAUCAAAAGGUGUCCCUUUGUUGCUUUUAAUUCCUUCAGACAAGAAUUCACAUGAAUCAAUAGAGAAGGAGAAUACAGACAGGAAAUAUAAAGAACAUUCUGAGAAAAUUAGGUUAAAUCUGGAAUGGAAUACUAGAUGAUUUUGACGGUGCAAGAACUCCAGAAAUGGUCAUCAAGAUCCAAGUUCCAAGCUAUUUCUAGCGUCUUCAUCCACCUUCUUUCACUUGUGGCUUUUAUCCUCCUGUCCAUAACAUUUCUGUCCCACCCCCCAGGCAUCAUGGCUACAUUCCUGGAAGAGAGAAAGAUACAAGGAAAGUGCUUGGAUCAAAAAUGAGUUAAUCUUCAGAAAAGUCAGUACCCUUCUAAAUCAGCUUACUUCAGAAAAUACAAAUCAGGUGCUGAUGGCUCUUGAUCUUAAAUCAACAAUAAAAGGAAAUAAGGAUACA